AUACGGAGGAUCCGAGCGUUAUCCGGAUUUAUUGGGUUUAAAGGGUGCGCAGGCGGCCAUUUAAGUCAGCGGUUAAAUCGUGGGGCUCAACCCCAUUCUGCCGUUGAUACUGGGUGGCUUGAUUGCGGUCGAGGUUGGCGGAAUUCGUUGUGUAGCGGUGAAAGGCAUAGAUAUGACGAAGAACACCGAUUGCGUAGGCAGCUGACCAGACCGCAAAUGACGCUCAUGCACGAAAGUGCGGGGAUCGAACAGGAUUAGAUACCCUGGUAGUCCGCACAGUAAACGAUGAAUACUUGUUUUCGGCGAUAUAAUGUCGGAGGCAAAGCGAAAGCGAUAAGUAUUCCACCUGGGGAGUACGCCGGCAACGGUGAAACUCAAAGGAAUUGACGGGG
rnacentral:rRNA from 1 species